AUUUUUGUGCUGUAUUGGCAGCAUUUAUUGCAAGAGCUAGAUUCAAAAGUUGAUUUGCAUGGGAGGUCUUUAGUCUUUGCCAAAAUAUCAUCAUCACAGGGUGUAGGAUUUUAGUGAUUUGCAAAUCUAUUAACACUUAAAAAAAAGUGCUCAAUAUGGAACCACCCUUUUUAUGAUUGCCCUUCUAGAUUAUUGUUGUAUGGGCAUAUAAAAAUCACCUGGUGGUUGUGAGUAAUGCUUAAUAUAUUUCACUCCAGAUUAUACUUUGCUCUGCUGUCAAGCUAUUCAGGGGGAAAAAGAAGGAUGCGACUAUAGGCGAGGUACUUUCUAUUUGGUACUAUAACAGUGAGAUUUAAACAACACAAGGAGAAAAAACAAGAUGUGAGACAAUUUGUUAUCUGUUGCAGCUGAACAUCUCUUACCUUGAUGUGUGUAAAUCAACUUUAAUACCACCAGUUGGGAUGAUGGAGCUAUCAGGCAUGUGUAGAGUGCUAGGAGACCAGGUAAAGUCUUGCAUAAAAAACAUGUUUCUCCAUUUCAGUCUCCUUUUCUCUUUCUCUUCUUGGUCAUGAGUUCUCAGUUAAGAAUUGGGAAGACACAUAACCCAAGGUGAACAUGAAAAUGCAGGGGAUUCUAAAAGUUGGAAAGGUUAGAGAAGAAAAGUUAUGUAGAGUAACUCUAAAAGUAGAUGAGGCAGACGUCACCUUUGCAUUGCAGGGAAUACUUGAUGGUCGACUUAGUAAAAGAUUGUGAUUCUUUACUAUUUAUUCUGUUGCUAAACAAACAGCAAAUUUGUGGUCCAGAAUAGAAGGUAUCAAACCAGGUGUUAAAUUUAUGGAGGAAUGGAAGUUGAA